rnacentral:rRNA from 1 species
GAUGAACGCUAGCGGCAGGCUUAACACAUGCAAGUCGAGGGGUAUAGUUCUUCGGAACUAGAGACCGGCGCACGGGUGCGUAACGCGUAUGCAAUCUACCUUUUGCAGAGGGAUAGCCCAGAGAAAUUUGGAUUAAUACCUCAUAGUAUGUGAGAAUGGCAUCAUUUUCACAUUAAAGCCACAACGGCAAAAGAUGAGCAUGCGUCCCAUUAGCUAGUUGGUAAGGUAACGGCUUACCAAGGCAACGAUGGGUAGGGGUCCUGAGAGGGAGAUCCCCCACACGGGUACUGAGAAACGGACCAGACUCCUACGGGAGGCAGCAGUGAGGAAUAUUGGACAAUGGGCGCAAGCCUGAUCCAGCCAUGCCGCGUGCAGGAUGACGGUCCUAUGGAUUGUAAACUGCUUUUGUACAGGAAGAAACACUGGUUCGUGAACCAGCUUGACGGUACUGUAAGAAUAAGGAUCGGCUAACUCCGUGCCAGCAGCCGCGGUAAUAC